ensembl:rRNA 5S_rRNA 5S ribosomal RNA
UUCUAAUGCCAUACCACUCUGAUCCUGGAAGCAAAGCAGGGUCGUGCCUGGUCAGUACUUUGAUAGGAGACUGUCUGGGAACACUGAGUGCUGUAGGAU